rnacentral:rRNA from 1 species
CCAGACUCCUACGGGAGGCAGCCGUGGGGACUCUUGCACAAUGGGGGACCCCCUGAUGCAGCGACGCCGCGUGCGCGAUGAAGUAUUUCGGUAUGUAAAGCUCUAUCAGCAGGGAAGACGAUGACGGUACCUGACUAAGAAGCCCCGGCUAACUACGUGCCAGCAGCCGCGGUCCUACGUAGGGGGCAAGCGUUAUCCGGAUUUACUGGGGGUAACGGGAGCGUAGACGGCGAUGCAAGCCAGAUGUGAAAGCCCGGGGCUCAACCCCGGGACGGCAGGGGGAACGGGGGGGCGGGAGGGGCGGAGAGGCAGGCGGAAUGCCUAGGGGAGCGGUGAAAGGCGGAGAGAGUAGGAGGAACACCAGGGGCGAAGGCGGCCGGCGGGACGAGGACUGACGGGGAGGCGCGAAAGCGGGGGGAGCAAACAGGAGGAGAGACCCCCGUAC